GUGGCCUAGUGGUUAGAGCAUCUGCCUCGGAUGCAGGAGGUCGUGGGUUCAUUCCCCAGUCAAGUCA